UACGGGGGGGGCAAGCGUUUGUUCGGAAUUACUGGGCGUAAAGGGCUCGUAGGCGGCCAACUAAGUCAGACGUGAAAUCCCUCGGCUUAACCGGGGAACUGCGUCUGAUACUGGAUGGCUUGAGAUUGGGAGAGGGAUGCGGAAUUCCAGGUGUAGCGGUGAAAUGCGUAGAUAUCUGGAGGAACACCGGUGGCGAAGGCGGCAUCCUGGACCAGCACUGACGCUGAGGAGCGAAAGCCAGGGAGCAAACGGG
rnacentral:rRNA from 1 species